UCUUCAUUAGGAGGUCAUAUGAAAUAUUCCUACUUUUGCUUCUUUUGUCCGCCAACUUUGAGAACCGAGUAAAACUCGUUCAGAUAUGAUUAUUGUAUCCAUUGCUCGAUACUGCUUUCAUCAUUCACAUUGCACAGAUCACAAGGCAACGAUAAGGACUGCAUUACAGACUAUAUGUGAGUUUCUAGAGAGGAACGGCAGUAAGCGUAGUCUCUUUUGCAACCGUUAUUUGGUCUUAUCACGCAACGCACCCUCUCUCAAACGGGGAAUACAUAGCGUUGUAUGACGAGACAGAACAACAAUUGCGAGGGAAACAACAG